GAACGAGAAAGUCCGGGUGUAGCAAUACAUUCGGGUGAGUAAAGUGGCGCACGGGUGAGUAACACGUAGCUAACCUGCCCUGCAGUGGGGGAUAACCCGGGGAAACCUNGGGCUAAUACCGCAUAACAUCCCGAUGACGCAGGUUGUCGGGAUCAAAGGCCCGCAAGGGUCGCUGGAGGAGGGGGCUGCGGCCGAUUAGCUAGUUGGCAGGGUAACGGCCUACCAAGGCGAUGAUCGGUAGCCGGCCUGAGAGGGCGCACGGCCACACUGGCACUGAAACACGGGCCAGACUCCUACGGGAGGCAGCAGUGGGGAAUUUUGCACAAUGCCCGAAAGGGUGAUGCAGCAACGCCGCGUGAGGGAUGAAGGCCUUCGGGUCGUAAACCUCUUUCGACCGGGAAAAAUGGCCCCGCGAAUAACGGGGUCUGAUGGUACCGGUGGAAGAAGCCCCGGCCAACUACGUG
rnacentral:rRNA from 1 species